rnacentral:rRNA from 1 species
CGCCCUUAGAGUUUGAUCCUGGCUCAGGAUGAACGCUAGCGGCAGGCUUAACACAUGCAAGUCGGACGGCAGCGGGGGRRGAGCUUGCUCUUCCYGCCGGCGAGUGGCGCACGGGUGAGUAACACGUAUGCAACCUGCCCCUGUCAGAGGGACAACCCGCCGAAAGGCGGGCUAAUCCCGCGUAGAUCACACYGAGGCAUCUCGGUGMGAGGAAAGGAGAGAUCCGGACAGGGAUGGGCAUGCGGCGCAUUAGGCAGUUGGCGGGGUAACGGCCCACCAAACCGACGAUGCGUAGGGGUUCUGAGAGGAAGGUCCCCCACACUGGUACUGAGACACGGACCAGACUCCUACGGGAGGCAGCAGUGAGGAAUAUUGGUCAAUGGGCGGGAGCCUGAACCAGCCAAGCCNCGUGGAGGAAGAAGGUACAGAGUAUCGUAAACUCCUUUUGUCAGGGGAUAAAAGRUCCYACGCGURGGAUUCUGAAGGUACCUGAAGAAAAAGCAUCGGCUAACUCCGUGCCAGCAGCCGCGGUAAUACGGAGGAUGCGAGCGUUAUCCGGAUUUAUUGGGUUUAAAGGGUGCGUAGGCUGUUUCUUAAGUCAGCGGUGAAAGCCCGGGGCUCAACCCCGGCGAGCCGUUGAAACUGGGGAGCUGGAGAGGAAGAGAGGUAUGCGGAAUUCGCGGUGUAGCGGUGAAAUGCUUAGAUAUCGCGAAGAACUCCGAUUGCGAAGGCAGCAUACCGGCUUCUGUCUGACGCUGAGGCACGAAAGCGUGGGGAUCGAACAGGAUUAGAUACCCUGGUAGUCCACGCAGUAAACGAUGAACACUGGCUGUCCGGAGCGAAUGKGCUCUGGGUGGCGUAGCGAAAGCGUUAAGUGUUCCACCUGGGGAGUACGCCGGCAACGGUGAAACUCAAAGGAAUUGACGGGGGCCCGCACAAGCGGAGGAACAUGUGGUUUAAUUCGAUGAUACGCGAGGAACCUUACCCGGGCUCAAACGGGAGCGGACKGGCGCAGAGACGCGUCUUUCCUACGGGACUGCUUCCGAGGUGCUGCAUGGUUGUCGUCAGCUCGUGCCGUGAGGUGUCGGCUUAAGUGCCAUAACGAGCGCAACCCCUGCCGCCAGUUACUACCAUUAGGUUGAGGACUCUGGCGGGACUGCCGGCGCAAGCCGCGAGGAAGGCGGGGAUGACGUCAAAUCAGCACGGCCCUUACGUCCGGGGCGACACACGUGUUACAAUGGGCGGUACAGCGGGAAGCCACUGGGCGACCAGGAGCGGAACCCGAAAGCCGYCCUCAGUUCGGAUCGGAGUCUGCAACCCGACUCCGUGAAGCUGGAUUCGCUAGUAAUCGCGCAUCAGCCAUGGCGCGGUGAAUACGUUCCCGGGCCUUGUACACACCGCCCGUCAAGCCAUGGGAGCCGAGGGCGCUUGAAGUGCGUCGCCGCGAGGCGCGCCCUAGAGCGAAAUCGGUGACUGGGGCUAAGUCGUAACAAGGUAMCCGUAAAGGGCG